AUUAAAAUCGUUUCGGCCGCUGGAGCUCUCGACUCAUAAUCGAGAGGUCCCGUGUUCAAAUCCGCGGCUGGGCAGGAUGAUUUUUCUUUCAUUUGCUUUCUAUGUAACACUUACUCAUAGAUAUUCUAAUGUGUCCGUUGCCAAUUCGUA